AGUGAACGCUGGCGGUAGGCCUAACACAUGCAAGUCGAACGGCAGCACAGUAAGAGCUUGCUCUUACGGGUGGCGAGUGGCGGACGGGUGAGGAAUACAUCGGAAUCUACUUUUUCGUGGGGGAUAACGUAGGGAAACUUACGCUAAUACCGCAUACGACCUACGGGUGAAAGCAGGGGAUCUUCGGACCUUGCGCGAUUCAAUGAGCCGAUGUCGGAUUAGCUAGUUGGCUGGGUAAAGGCCCACCAAGCCGACGAUCCGUAGCUGGUCUGAGAGGAUGAUCAGCCACACUGGAACUGAGACACGGUCCAGACUCCUACGGGAGGCAGCAGUGGGGAAUAUUGGACAAUGGGCGCAAGCCUGAUCCAGCCAUACCGCGUGGGUGAAGAAGGCCUUCGGGUUGUAAAGCCCUUUUGUUGGGAAAGAAAAGCAGCAGGUUAAUACCCCGCUGUUCUGACGGUACCCAAAGAAUAAGCACCGGCUAACUUCGUG
rnacentral:rRNA from 1 species